GCACCCAGACUUCCUUCCUUAAUACAAUUUUGAAAAAAAUAUGCACAAUAUGGAAGAAAAUGACGAGCUUCUAACUCAUAAGUACAUUUUACAUUUGAUAAGCAGGUGUAGAUCUGGUUUUCUCCAGUUUUUGCUUGAAAUUUAUGCUAAAGAGAGAAAAUUUAUUCCAAAAUUGAACUCUGUCUAAAACGUAUAAGAGAUCGAAGUUUCUGAAGUUGUUCCGAAGUUUGUUCGUUGGAUGUAUGUACAAUGAUUACAAUGAUUGAAUUGAUUAUUUCUACAGUUGUAUAUAUUUUUAAAAACAUUUGUAAAAUUGUAGAA